UAAUAUCUUCAAGAUGCUAGAGUGAUACUCAUUAAUAUUGUUAUUCCAAUCCCAUUCCACAUGCACUUCACCUUUUUGAGUGCAAGAUCUAGGCCUACUCUCACUUUCGUGUCUUGCAUGUUGGUUACCAUGCCAACCCAUAUUCGGUUCGCGCUGCUCAAACUUGGAAGCAAACGCUAAACACUGAUACAAGUCAACGAAGCUAGCUAUUUGCAUAUAUUUUACAUUCGACAUGGCAUCUUGCUUAGUGCCAGACUUUCCAGCUGUUCUGGUUGCUUUGGAGCAUUUGGGCGAAUUAGACAAGCAGCUGAGGGAUGAGGGAGUUCCAUUCAGUCCUGAGGCCAGUCAUCACCUGAAAGAAAUAGCUGCUGCCAUCACUGAACUGGAGACUUCCAGAAGAGUAGUCCAUGAACAACUGGAGGUCGAAACUAUUGAAACGAGCAAACUCCGACAUCAAUGCCAGAAUAUCCAUGAUGAUGUUCAGAAUGAGAUAUCAGCUGGUGUUGCGGCUGCAAGAAAUAUAAAUGCGGGUCAAAUUACUCAACUCCAAGAUGAACUGAACAGUAUAGUACAAGAAAUAGAAUUAAUGGAGAAAAAACAGGAAGUCCUUGAAAAGCAAAAUGCUAUUCUUUAUCCUGAGAGAGAGUUGGUAAAAGGUGACCAUGAAAAUGUCAUCAACCAAUUAAACUACCAGCUGUCAGAGAAGGCCAAUAAACAGAUUCUGCUCAAUGAAACAAUGAACAAGAUCAAAGAAGGGAAAGCCAAGAUCACAGAUGUGGAGACCGCUAAAGUGGAGCUAGAGGAGGACAUGAUUCAAGAGAGGAAGACGUUUGAUGAAACAAAUGAGAAUCUUCAGAGAGAGUGUGAGGAAGUCAUCAAUAACAUACAGGACCAGAAGAAGAACAAUGAGAAUAAACGCAGAGAGCUGGACAUUUUUUUAGCAGAACUGUUGGAUAAGGAGGACAAAGUCACAGAGCAAAAAAAACACAUUGCCCAGUUAGAGCAAAGUAUAGCCAAACUGACAGCGUCUGAAAUCCAAUACAAAGAGCAGCUGGCAGACGAGAUCAAGACAUUUGAGGAACUUGUUCUUCAGAAGGAAUUUCAUGUAAAGGAGUUGGCUGAAGUGAGAAUUGUAUUUGAACUGAAAGUUCAGGCACUACAGGAAAAGAUUGUAGAGGUGGAUGGUGAGAUGGAGGAGGGCCAGAUAGUGAAUGCCAUCCGCCUGGAGUCUAUUGCUAAGAUGUCUGACAGAUUUAAAGCUCAAAGGAAAGAGGAGGACGACGUCAUGGCUGAACACCUCAAUGUCUCAAGACGCUUAGAAAAGUCCAGAGUUAGACUUGAGGAGCGCAUUGCAUCGAUCGCUAAACAUAAAAUUGAAAUCAGAGAAAUGGAUGAAGAGAUCAAACAACUCCAUGAAACCAAUAUAGUUAAUGCAGACCUGUUUGAAAUAAAUGUGGAUGAACUGCAUGGACAGCUCAAUAAAGAAAAGAAGAACAUAGCAAUCUUUGAAGUUGAAAAAGAAGAACUGUGCCAGUCUCUGGAGAAUCUAAAAAAAGAUCAAGUACAGCAUGUGAAAGAGGUCAACUCUAAUAUUGGUUUAACCAGGAGGAGAUAUGAGGAACUGCUUGAAGAGGAGAAGAAACUCAGAGACCAUGUAUUCAUGGGCGCGUUGAUUGAACGUCUCAGUAACAAGAUUGUUAAGGCAAAGGAGGGGAAUGAACAGAUGACCAUUUCCUACAAUGCCGAGAUCCAACAGUUCAUCACUGAAGCGGAGUCAGUGACACAGAGCCGACUGGAGAAGGAGGAGGACCUGAAGGGUAAAGAGUCUAUCUUGGAGGAGGCGGAGGCCCAGUUUGAUAUUGACCAGUCCAGGCACCAAAAACUAAAAAAACAUACCUCAGAGUUAAAGAGUAAGAACAGUCAUCUGGAGCUCUUCAUCCAGGAUAUGAAAGAGAGCACUAGUACUCUUCUCAAACCGAAGGAGGACAUGAAGAGGAGUCUAGAGGGUUUGCGUGAGAAACACAUGGAGCUGCUGACGUCUCACGCUGCAGACAUCAUCGCCACGGAGAAGAGCAUCUAUGACAACGGGAUGAUGCUGGAGCAGGUCAAUAUGGAGAACAGCAGACUGCAUGUGUGUAUUGAACAAAUGAAGGAGGACAUAUGGAACACCAGGAAAGACCAGGAAAGACACACAAAGGAGAUUGGGUGGCUGAAAGAGGAGGUUCAUUCUCUAUUUGAGAGCCUGCUUGAUGCUUGGGCAGAGGACACUGUGGUGACUGAGGAAUCUUCAGAGAGAGACCACAAGAUUCUGGAGGCUAUCUACAGACUCAUGACCAAGAUCCACGACAGGAAGUUCCAACUGGGGGAUAUCAACAGUAGACUAGAGGAGGAACUGAAGGGCAUGAGUUCCCUGUUGGCCAAUAGUAAAUCGAACAUUUCACUUAAAGAACAGGGCAACUAA
rnacentral:lncRNA from 8 species